CGAACAGAAAGGCAGGAGCAGAAAGAAAAUAGAAGUGGUGUUUGCAUGAAGGUAAAUCAUCUCAUCUGACUAGACACAUUUGAGCAGUGAGAAAAUAAACCAAAAAAAGUAGGCUGGAGUCAGUUUGUGGCAGGCCUUCAGAGCCCAGGGUGUUUUGACAUCAACUUAAGUAGUUGGCAGCCAUUGAGUCAGAGAGUGAGUUGAUUAGACUGCUGUGUUAGAAAAUGAAAUAGCAACGCUGUCUAGGAUGGAUUAAUGGCUGGGACUGUUGAAAGACUAGAGCAGGGAGACCUUUCAGUAGGUUGUGCAAUCAUCUAGAAACUGGAAGGAAAAGGAGGAACGAGCUGCAAAAGAUACUGCUGAAGAAGAGUAAACAGACUUUGGCCACUGGGUGAAUAUAAAAGAAGGACAAGAGAAAGCUGUUGAUGAGAGUGAUCUGCCUGCUCCCCGCAGUUGAGAGUGCUGCACUGCAAGUGUUACCUGGUGAGGCCCACCUCCAGCCCACUACUUCUGGGAAAAAUGACUUAAUGUCUAAGGAGAAGGCUAAUUUGGAAGGGAGUCAUACUGGUACAAGGAGGCAAAUUAGGAGACUACCAAAUCAGUAUAGAAAGAUGCAUACCCUCAAGAGAAUCUGCUUGUUGUGGUUUCUGAUUUACAUAGAUGAUGAGAUUGGCCCCAUGUCUGAAAAACAGUAUGUGGGGAAGGCCUGGAGAAGCAAUUGAACUGAAACAAAGUCAAAAGUGGGAAGUCCCCCUCUGGCAAGCAGCUCUAAGAUGACAGAGCCGGUGCCAGAAUCUAAACCUUGGGACUCUGGUUGCUGUAUAAAAAAAUAAAUAUUAGGAACAAAAAUAAAUACCCACAUCUCCAUGCUGGACAGCAGAAGAGCAAUAAGUUGCCAAAUUUUUUUUUUGUUUUGUUUUGAUAGUUUUUUACUCUCUAAAUGUAAGCUCCUAUAUUUCCUGUCUUCCAUAUGUUAGAAGCUCAGUACAAACAGGAGAAAAAGAAAAAAAAAAAGGCUGGAUGCACCUCAUUUGUUGUCAACAGGGAUGUUUCAAAUUAUUGUUAAACUAGAAGGGACUCAAUGCUUUAGAAACAACUCAUUACUCAAUUCAGCCACUUUUAUUUCCUAUUAGGCUGUCAUAUAGCAAAAUGUCCAACACCGCCCCAUCCCUCUCUGCUACUACUACCUUUUGACAAGACAGUCUCUUUGUUAAAGUCAAGUUAAAACUGGAUACAGCUGUGGUAGUUUCAGGCCUAUCUGACAGACAAUAUUGAACUCAUUUCAUCAUCUGAAACUUUAAUACAAAAUGUCUCUUAAGGACUCUAUGAACAGAGCAAGAGGUUCUUGCCCUGUGAAAAUAGAUUAAUGCUAAGAGAGCUCCCUAAUGGCAAUAGAAACCAACAUUUAUUUUAUGCUUAUUAGGUGCCAGGUAGAGAGAGGGUCAAGUAAUUUAUAAGCAUUAUCUCAAUUCAUCCUAAUAAUGAACCCUCCUGUGAGAGUGGUGGGUGAUAAUAUUAUCCCCAUUUCACAGGUGAGGGGGUUCUUGGAGAGGUUAAGUAACUUGCCCAAGGUCAUACAGCUGGUACAUGGUAGAGCAGGGAUCUAUUCCAAGUCUAACACAGUAUCCAUUCUCUUAAUCCCUAUACUAUAAUGUCACUUGAAUAUGGUAACAAAAGUAGUUAGAAUUGCCAGUGUAAUCAACUAGAAACAAAAUUCAAGCCUACUUGAUAGUUUAGCUCAUAAAAUCUGUCUGGUAUCACCAAAGGUGAUAGGUGAUUUGGGCUGGGGAGAAUCUAUAAAUUAUUUUCAACAAUUCAAAUAGCCUAAUGCAUGGGUUCUUAAUCUGUUUCUGUGCUACAGUCUCCUAUGACUGUCUGGUGCAGCCUGUGGACUACCUUCUCACAAUAAUGUUUCUAAAUGCAUGCUGGCUGGGCAUGGCGGCUCAUGCCGAUAAUCCUAGGACUUUGGGAGGCCAAGGCAAGAGGAUCACUUGAGCUCAGGAGUUUGAAACCAGGCUGAACAGCAUGGCAAGACCCCAUCUCUACAAGAAAAUACAAAAAUUAGUCAGGUGUGGUAUCAUGUGCCUAUGGUCCCAGAUACCUGGGAUGCUGAGGUGGGAGGAUUUGUUGAGCCUGGGAGUUCAAGGCUAAAGUGAGCCAUGAUGGUGCUACAGCACUUCAGCCUAGGUGACAGGGCAAGUCCCUGCCUUAAAAUAAAUACAUACAUAAUUAAUACAGAGUGCAUAUGCAUCCACACAUAUACAUAGAUAAUAUACAGUGAAUUAAAAUCAAAUCCUAGGCUUUGCUAGGAUUGCAAAUGAAACACUCCACUGAAAUCAUCAAAACAGUAAAAAAAAAUUGUGAGAUAGCACAUACAUACUUGUAUAUUAGCACAUUCAGUAGGAGAAACCAGAGGGUCUGAAAACUACUAUAAUUUUAAUUUUAGUGAUAAGGAUAAAAGGUUUUCAACAUAUCUAUAACAGUGUAUGUGGUAUUUGGUAUGAGAAUGUCUUUGCUUUCUAUUGGUGACAAAAGUCAAAGGUACUGCUGUGCCACUGUGAUUUGUUGCCUACAUUUAUAAUGGAAGGAAAUGUGAAAUUUCACAAUUCAUAAUGAAAGGAAAUGCUAUUUCAGUUAGAGGUUAGAGAAAAUAAAGAUGCAGUUUUUUCCCUUCCAAGUUCACUGACAACUCCUUGAAUCCUAACCACAGACCCUUACUCCAGGUUAAGAAUCCUUAUUAAAUAGCCUAAUGAGUAACUAAUGGAAAUACUGAGCUUACUUAUAAUAAGACUUCACAGUCUAAAAUGUGGCACUUUUUUUUUCUUUGCUUUGACAUGGAAUUGUAUGAAUCUAUUAUCCAGAAAAAAAAUUCACUGUGGCUAGUGGACAUCUUUGCUGCAAACCAUCACUCUGGAUGAUGUUUAAAGCAGACAGUGCUUGGUAGUUUUUUCUUUGUUGAAAGGCAACACAGACACACUACUAUCUAAGAGCACUGCACACCAGGAACACGUUGUUUCAGUACAGCACAAAACUGCUGGGAAAAGGAAACUAAUGCUUUUAAACAAAUAAAAGAGUUUUCUUACAAGUCUAAAUUGCCAGUGAUCUAUCAAUAAUUAAAAAGAACAAAGACCACUUGUAAACCUGCAGUGCAUGGCAGGGACUGAAGUCUACAAUUUAGAUUAAGGUUUUGGCUGAUGAUUUCAGAGAACCAGUGCCAUACCAGUUGAUACUACUGACUGGAAGACAGAGACAAUGCUUCAGGUCAAUGGCUGAUUUGUAAAGAGUAAAACUGUGUUCUCAAAUUUCUGGUUAGCUUGUAAGUAAAAAUGGAUUUAGAACAUACUUCAGGAAUCAGAAUGAAAGUUUCUCCAAACAUAUGCCACAUGGGGGUUCCUGCCAGAUGGAAGCCAUGUCAUUAUCAAUAGAGGGACAAAAGACAUCAUAGUUUAGGGUUCCCAAACUGGCUACAUAUUAGAAACCUCUUUGAAGCUUCAAUACCAAUGCCCAGGUUCCACCCCAGACCAAUAAAAUCAGGGUAUCUACAGAGCAGGUGUGGAAAUCUGUAUCUGCAAAGGUUGAGACACAUUGGUUUAGGGCAAAGGAGGAGAUUAAAAAUGGCUCCAGAUUCUUUGCCAUUCUUCCCACCAAAAGGAAUCUGCUUUGCUCUGUGUUUUGCAUUGACCAGGAGAGAAUGAAAUGGAAAUAAUGUUCUGGGACUUUUGAGUACAGGCCUUAAAAGGACUGGCAUCUUCUGCUUUUCCAUUUGGAACACCAGCCUGCUGUAUUGUGGAAAAGUCCAGGCCAGGACACUACAUGAUUAGAGGUGGUAUGGAGAGAGCACUGGAGGAGAGGAGAUCAUCUUGGAUGUCCCAGCUUUAGCCAAACUCCCAGCUGAAUGCAGCUGCACAUGUGACCUCAGCCUACCCCAUCUGAAUCAGACCCACCCAGCUGAGCUCACUCAAUCCACAUAUUUGUGAGAAAUAAUAAAUUGUUUGAAGCCACUAA
rnacentral:lncRNA from 1 species